rnacentral:rRNA from 1 species
AUCAACUUUCGAUGGUAGGAUAGAGGCCUACCAUGGUGGUAACGGGUAACGGGGUGUUAGGGCACGACACCGGAGAGGGAGCCUGAGAAACGGCUACCACAUCCAAGGAUGGCAGCAGGCGCGCAAAUUACCCAAUCCCGACACGGGGAGGUAGUGACAAUAAAUAACAAUACGGGGUUCUUUCGGAUUUCGUAAUUGGAAUGAGUACAAUUUAAAUCUCUUAACGAGGAACAAUUGGAGGGCAAGUCUGGUGCCAGCAGCCGCGGUAAUUCCAGCUCCAAUAGCGUAUAUUAAAGUUGCUGCAGUUAAAAAGCUCGUAGUUGAAUUUCGGGACCAAUAUGUCGGUCGUGCCUCGGUACGUACUGGCAUCGUUGGUUUCUCCCUUCUGACGAACCAUGAUGUCAUUCAUUUGGUGUCGUGGGGAAUCAGGACUGUUACUUUGAAAAAAUUAGAGUGUUUAAAGCAGGCUCACGCUUGAAUACAUUAGCAUGGAAUAAUGAAAUAGGACGUUUGAUUCUAUUUUGUUGGUUUCUAGGAUCGACGUAAUGAUUAAUAGGGAUAGUUGGGGGCAUUAGUAUUCAAUUGUCAGAGGUGAAAUUCUUGGAUUUAUUGAAGACUAACUACUGCGAAAGCAUUUGCCAAGGAUGUUUUCAUUAAUCAAGAACGAAAGUUAGGGGAUCGAAGACGAUCAGAUACCGUCGUAGUCUUAACCAUAAACUACGCCGACUAGGGAUCGGAUGAUGUUAAUUUUUUAAUGACUCAUUCGGCGCCUUACGGGAAACCAAAGUGUUUGGGUUC